rnacentral:lncRNA from 1 species
UGAGAGAGCCCAGUUUGAAUCUAAGCUUAUAAUUUUUUAAUAAAAUAAUUAUUCUCUUCUUUCCAAAAUUUUUCUUCCACCGUAUCUUUCUUGUAUUCAUUUUUUUUAUAUUUAUUUUAUAUUCUAAACCGGCAUAUAUAUUUGAUCUACAUCAAGUAGUAUGCCAUUUUACAUGAUAUCAAAGCCAUAAAUUUUGAGAUUAGUAGUUCAUGUACUUUUAGCUUUAUAUGGCACCAGA